CCAACAGGGAUUGCCUCAGUAACGGCGAGUGAAGCGGCAACAGCUCAAAUUUGAAAUCUGGCCUUGCGGUCCGAGUUGUAAUUUGCAGAGGAUGUCUCGGGCGCGACACCGGUCUAAGUUCCUUGGAACAGGACGUCGCAGAGGGUGAGAAUCCCGUACGUGACCGGUGGUCUACCCCAUGUGAGGCUCCUUCGACGAGUCGAGUUGUUUGGGAAUGCAGCUCUAAAUGGGUGGUAAAUUUCAUCUAAAGCUAAAUAUUGRCCAGAGACCGAUAGCGCACAAGUAGAGUGAUCGAAAGAUGAAAAGCACUUUGGAAAGAGAGUUAAAAAGUACGUGAAAGUGUUGAAAGGGAAGCGCUUGCAACCAGACUUGUUCGCGGGUGAUCAACCGUUCUUCGGGGCGGUGCACUCGCCCGCGAUCAGGCCAGUAUCGGUUUCAGCAGCCGGACAAAGGCCCGGAGAAUGUAGCUCCUCACGGGGAGUGUUAUAGCUCAGUGMGUAAUACGGCUAGUUGGGACCGAGGACCGCGCUUC
rnacentral:rRNA from 1 species